AGCGAACGCUGGCGGCAUGCCUAACACAUGCAAGUCGAACGAGACCUUCGGGUCUAGUGGCGCACGGGUGCGUAACGCGUGGGAACCUGCCCUUAGGUUCGGAAUAACUCCCCGAAAGGGGUGCUAAUACCGGAUAAUGUCUUCGGACCAAAGAUUUAUCGCCUUUGGAUGGGCCCGCGUUGGAUUAGCUAGUUGGUAGGGUAAAAGCCUACCAAGGCGACGAUCCAUAGCUGGUCUGAGAGGAUGAUCAGCCACACUGGGACUGAGACACGGCCCAGACUCCUACGGGAGGCAGCAGUGGGGAAUAUUGGACAAUGGGCGAAAGCCUGAUCCAGCAACGCCGCGUGAGUGAUGAAGGCCUUAGGGUUGUAAAGCUCUUUUACCCGGGAUGAUAAUGACAGUACCGGGAGAAUAAGCUCCGGCUAACUCCGUG
rnacentral:rRNA from 1 species